rnacentral:lncRNA from 1 species
AUGGGAAGGAACACUGUCCAACAGACCAGGUUGCUCAAAGCCCCAUCUAACCUGGCCUUCAACACUUCCAGGGAUGGGACAUCCACAACUUCUCUGGAAAGCCUGUUCCACUGUCUCACCACCCUCAGAGUAAAGAAUUUCAUCCUUAUAUCUAAUCUAAAUCUACACAGUUUUAGUUUAAAACCAUUACUUGUCCUAUCACUACAUUCCCUGACAAAGACCCUUUCCUGCUUUCCUGUAGGCCCCCUUAAGGAACUGGCAGGCCACUAUAAGGUCACCCCAGAACCUUCUCUUCUCCAGGCUGAACAACCCCAACUCCUUCACCCUGCUCUCAUAGAAGAGUCACUUUUCCUUCCAACAAACAAUAACACCUUGAUGAACCUUACAGAUUUAUUUUCUUUCCCAGAAGAAAACAGUCUCAGGGAAUCUAACUUCCUGUUUCACUGCAUUCACUGAACCUUGAAAAGAAAUGAUCACAGAAUCACAGAAUCACGGAAUAGUUGAAUCUGGAAGAGACCUCUGGAGAUCAUCUAGCCCUCUGCUCAAGCAGGGUCACCUAGAGCACACAGAAUCACACCUAGAUACACAGAAUCACAUUCAG